rnacentral:rRNA from 1 species
UACGUAGGGGGCAAGCGUUGUCCGGAAUUAUUGGGCGUAAAGCGCGUGUAGGCGGCCAGAUAGGUCAGCUGUGAAAACUCGAGGCUCAACCUCGAGAUGUCGGCUGAAACCAUCUGGCUAGAGUCCGGAAGAGGAGAGUGGAAUUCCUGGUGUAGCGGUGAAAUGCGCAGAUAUCAGGAAGAACACCCGUGGCGAAGGCGGCUCUCUGGGACGGUACUGACGCUGAGACGCGAAAGCGUGGGGAGCGAACAGG